rnacentral:rRNA from 1 species
GCCUGCAUGAAGUUGGAAUUGCUAGUAAUCGCGGAUCAGAAUGUCGCGGUGAAUACGUUCCCGGGCCUUGUACACACCGCCCGUCACACCAUGAGAGCCGAUAACACCCGAAGCCUGUGAGCUAACCGUAAGGGGGCAGCAGUCGAAGGUGGGGUUGGUGAUUGGGGUGAAGUCGUAACAAGGUAAC